GACGAACGCUGGCGGCGUGCCUAAUACAUGCAAGUCGAACGCAGUGGGGACGGGUGAGUAACACGUGGGUAACCUCCCAUCAGAGGGGAUAACCCUUGGAAACAGGUGCUAAACCCAUACUGGAGGAUGCACCCGGGGUGCAUUAGGUAGUUGGGGAGGUAACGGCGCACCAAGGCCACGAUGCAUAGCCGACCUGAGAGGGUGAUCGGCCACACGGGGACUGAGAAACGGCCCAGACUCCUACGGGAGGCAGCAGUAGGGAAUCUUCGGCAAUGGGCGAAAGUCUGACCGAGCAACGCCGGGGGAGUGAAGAAGGUUUUCGGAUCGUAAAACUCUGUUGUUAGGGAAGCGGUAUCUAACCAGAAAGCCACGGCUAACUACGUGCCAACAGCCGCGGUAAUUC
rnacentral:rRNA from 1 species